ACAUGCAAGUCGAGCGGGGAGCAAUCCCAGCGGCGAACGGGUGCGUAACGCGUAGGUAAUGUACCUCUUGGUGGGGAAUAACCUUGGGAAACCAGGGCUAAUACCGCAUACGGUCCUUCGGGAUGAAAGCAGCAAUGCGCCGAGAGAGCAGCCUGCGUCCCAUUAUUUAUUCCUAGUUGGUGAGGUAACGGCUCACCAAGGGUACGAUGGGUAGCUGGUCUGAGAGGAUGAUCAGCCACACUGGAACUGAGACACGGUCCAGACUCC
rnacentral:rRNA from 1 species